GACGAACGCUGGCGGCGUGCCUAACACAUGCAAGUCGAACGGGGCUUGUUAUCCAGAAUUUUUCGGAAGGACGGAGAACAAGGCUAGUGGCGGACGGGUGAGUAACGCGUGAGUAACCUGCCUUUCAGAGGGGGAUAACGUUCUGAAAAGGACGCUAAUACCGCAUAACAUAUAGAGGUCGCAUGGCAGCUAUAUCAAAGGAGCAAUCCGCUGAGAGAUGGACUCGCGUCUGAUUAGAUAGUUGGUGGGGUAACGGCCUACCAAGUCGACGAUCAGUAGCCGGACUGAGAGGUUGAACGGCCACAUUGGGACUGAGACACGGCCCAGACUCCUACGGGAGGCAGCAGUGGGGGAUAUUGCGCAAUGGGGGAAACCCUGACGCAGCAACGCCGCGUGAAGGAAGAAGGUUUUCGGAUUGUAAACUUCUUUUGUCAGGGAC
rnacentral:rRNA from 1 species